GACGUAGGUGGCGAGCGUUAUCCGGAUUUACUGGGCGUAAAGCGCGUGCAGGCGGUUCGGUAAGUCGGGCGUGAAAUCUCCUGGCUCAACUAGGAGAGGCCGUCCGAUACUACCAGACUUGAGGGCAGUAGAGGGAGGCGGAAUUCUGGGUGUAGUGGUGAAAUGCGUAGAUAUCCGGAGGAACACCGGUGGCGAAAGCGGCCUCCUGGACUGCUCCUGACGCUCAGACGCGAAAGCUAGUGGAGCGAACGGG
rnacentral:rRNA from 1 species